GUGCUCACUUUGGCAGCACACAUACUAAAAAUUGGAACAAUGCAGAGAUUAGCAUGACCCCUGCGCAAGGAUGACAUGCAAAUUUGUGAAGCGUUCCAUAUUUUU
rnacentral:snRNA from 1 species